rnacentral:rRNA from 1 species
UACAGAGGUGGCAAGCGUUGUUCGGAAUUACUGGGCGUAAAGGGCGCGUAGGUGGCCUUCUUAGUCAGACGUGAAAUCCCCAGGCUUAACCUGGGAACUGCGUCUGAUACUGGAAGGCUCGAGUUCGGGAGAGGAAUGUGGAAUUCCAGGUGUAGCGGUGAAAUGCGUAGAUAUCUGGAGGAACACCGGUGGCGAAGGCGGCAUCCUGGACCGAAACUGACGCUGAGGCGCGAAAGCUAGGGGAGCAAACGGG